rnacentral:rRNA from 1 species
UACAGAGGGUGCGAGCGUUGUCCGGAAUCACUGGGCGUAAAGGGCGCGUAGGCGGCUUGAUAAGGUUGCGGUGAAAGCCCGGGGCUCAACCCCGGGUCGGCCGUGGCAACUGUCGAGCUGGAGCACUGUAGAGGCAGGUGGAAUUCCGGGUGUAGCGGUGGAAUGCGUAGAGAUCGGGAGGAACACCAGUGGCGAAGGCGACUCGCUGGACCGGUCCUGACGCUCAGGCGCGAAAGCGUGGGGAGCAAACAGG